AGUGAACGCUGGCGGUAGGCCUAACACAUGCAAGUCGAACGGCAGCACAGUAAGAGCUUGCUCUUACGGGUGGCGAGUGGCGGACGGGUGAGGAAUACAUCGGAAUCUACUUUUUCGUGGGGGAUAACGUAGGGAAACUUACGCUAAUACCGCAUACGACCUACGGGUGAAAGCAGGGGAUCUUCGAACCUUCCCGGUUUGAUUUAGCCGAUGUCGGAUUAGCUAGUUGGCGGGGUAAAGGCCAACCAAGGCGACGAUCCGUAGCUGGUCUGAGAGGAUGAUCAGCCACACUGGAACUGAGACACGGUCCAGACUCCUACGGGAGGCAGCAGUGGGGAAUAUUGGACAAUGGGCGCAAGCCUGAUCCAGCCAUACCGCGUGGGUGAAGAAGGCCUUCGGGUUGUAAAGCCCUUUUGUUGGGAAAGAAAAGCAGCAGGUUAAUACCCCGCUGUUCUGACGGUACCCAAAGAAUAAGCACCGGCUAACUUCGUG
rnacentral:rRNA from 1 species